AAAGAUCACAUCGAAAAUCUAUCUAACAUCGAUUUUUCGUGCAGAGAAGGAUAACCCUCGAUAUUUGUGUAAGUCGGAUUCUCCUUGAAGGUGAUCACAGAGAUUGGGUGAUAACACAUGAUUAUGGCAAAAGCCACAAAUUCCUCCCACUAAGAACAUCAAUCUCAUUACUUAUUUGAUUCACCGACACCAACAUCAGAAAGCUGAAAGCUACACGCCCCACUUCAUCCCACAAACAAGGUACUACUCCACACUAAACCUUUAUUCAUGGCUAUUCUCCUCUCAUCAAACGACUACCGUCAGUGCUAGACUAGUAGUGAUCGUGCAUCAAUAGGGGAGAUAGCACUUGCUCGAUUUCACCGGGCCGAACUCGAAGAAGCCUGCGGUGUAGAGAGCAAUGGUGUUGUACCCGUCGCUCAGCUUCCUCUCAAACAUCAGAGAAGCUCCUGGUCCUUUCAGCCC
rnacentral:lncRNA from 1 species